GAUGAACGCUAGCGGCAGGCCUAAUACAUGCCAGUCGGACGGGAUCCAUUGAUAGCUUGCUAUCAAUGGUGAGAGUGGCGCACGGGUGCGUAACGCGUGAGCAACCUGCCUCCAUCAGGGGGAUAGCCUCUCGAAAGAGAGAUUAACACCGCAUAAUAUCAACAGUUCGCAUGUUCAGUUGAUUAAAUAUUUAUAGGAUGGAGAUGGGCUCGCGUGACAUUAGCUAGUUGGUAGGGUAACGGCUUACCAAGGCGACGAUGUCUAGGGGCUCUGAGAGGAGAAUCCCCCACACUGGUACUGAGACACGGACCAGACUCCUACGGGAGGCAGCAGUAAGGAAUAUUGGUCAAUGGGCGGAAGCCUGAACCAGCCAUGCCGCGUGCAGGAUGACUGCCCUAUGGGUGGUAAACUGCUUUUGUCCAGGAAUAAACCUAAAUACGAGUAUUUAGCUGAAUGUACUGGAAGAAUAAGGAGCGGCUAACUCCGUG
rnacentral:rRNA from 1 species